rnacentral:rRNA from 1 species
AUGCGGUAUGACGGUACCCUUUCGAAUAAGAGGUUGCUAACUCUGUGCCAGCAGCAGCGGUAAUACAGAGACCUCGAGCGUUAUCCGGAUUUACUGGGCGUAAAGCGUCUGUAGGGGGUUUGUUAAGUUCCAAGUAAAAUCUUAAGGCUCAACUUUAAGUUCGCUUGGAAAACUAAUAAACUGGAGUCCAGCAGAGGUGCAUGGAACUUGCGGUGUAGGAGUGAAAUCCGUUGAUAUCGCAAGGAACACCAAAGGCGAAGGCAUUGCACUGGGCUGGUACUGACCCUGAGAGACGAAAGCGUGGGGAGCAAAACGGAUUAGAUACCCGUGUAGUCCACGCCGUAAACGAUGGAUACUAGAUGUUCGGGGAUUCGACCCCCUGGGUGUCACAGCUAACGCGUUAAGUAUCCCGCCUGGGAAGUACGGCCGCAAGGCUAAAACUCAAAGGAAUAGACGGGGAUCCGCACAAGCGGUGGAGCGUCUGGUUUAAUUUGAUAGUAAGCAAUGGACCUCACCAAGGUUUGACAUCCUAUGACAACCCUGGAAACAGGGCUUCCUUCGGGCAUAGUGACAGGUGCUGCAUGGUCGUCGUCAGUUCGUGCCGUGAGGUGUUCCGUUAAGUCGGGAAACAAACGAAACCCUCGUCGCAUGUUACAAAUUUCAUGCGAGACUGCCCGGGUCAACCGGGAGGAAGGCGGGGAUGACGUCAGAUCAGCAUGGCCCUUAUACCUUGGGCUACACAGGCGCUACAAUGGCCGGUACAAAGGGUUGCAAAACCGCGAGGUGAAGCUAAUCCCAUAAAGCCGGUCCAAGUUCGGAUUGGAGGCUGCAACUCGCCUCCAUGAAGUUGGAAUCGCUAGUAAUCGUGGAUCAGCCAUACCACGGUGAAUACGUUCCCGGAUCUUGUACUCACCGCCCGUCACACCAAGAGAGUUGGUAGCUCCUGAA